UGGGGAAUAUUGGACAAUGGGGGGAACCCUGAUCCAGCCAUGCCGCGUGUGUGAAGAAGGCCUUAUGGUUGUAAAGCACUUUAAGCGAGGAGGAGGGUACUGGUAUUAAUACUACCAGCUACUGGACGUUACUCGCAGAAUAAGCACCGGCUAACUCUGUGCCAGCAGCCGCGGUAAUACAGAGGGUGCGAGCGUUAAUCGGAUGUACUGGGCGUAAAGCGUGCGUAGGCGGCUAAUUGAGUCGGAUGUGAAAUCCCCGAGCUUAACUUUGGAAUUGCAUUCGAUACUGGUUAGCUAGAGUGUGGGAGAGGAUGGUAGAAUUCCAGGUGUAGCGGUGAAAUGCGUAGAGAUCUGGAGGAAUACCGAUGGCGAAGGCAGCCAUCUGGCCUAACACUGACGCUGAGGUACGAAAGCAUGGGGAGCAAACAGG
rnacentral:rRNA from 1 species